rnacentral:rRNA from 1 species
AUGCUUAACACAUGCAAGUCGAACGGAAACGAUGGAAGCUUGCUUCCAGGCGUCGAGUGGCGGACGGGUGAGUAAUGCUUGGGAAUCUGCCUAAUAGUGGGGGAAAACUCGGGGAAACUCGGGCUAAUACCGCAUAAUCUCUUCGGAGGAAAGGGGGCCUCUACAUGUAAGCUCUCGCUAAUAGAUGAGCCCAAGUCAGAUUAGCUUGUUGGUGAGGUAAAAGCUCACCAAGGCUACGAUCUGUAGCUGGUCUGAGAGGACGAUCAGCCACACUGGGACUGAGACACGGCCCAGACUCCUACGGGAGGCAGCAGUGGGGAAUAUUGCACAGUGGGCGCAAGCCUGAUGCAGCAACGCCGCGUGUGUGAAGAAGGCCUUAGGGUUGUAAAGCACUUUCAAUAGAGAAGAAAAGCUUAGAGUUAAUAACUCUAAGCAUUGACGUAACCUAUAGAAGAAGCACCGGCUAAAUCCGUGCCAGCAGCCGCGGUAAUACGGAUGGUGCGAGCGUUAAUCGGAAUUACUGGGCGUAAAGCGCGCGUAGGCUGUUUUAUAAGUCGGAUGUGAAAUCCCCGGGCUCAACCUGGGAACUGCAUCCGAAACUAUUUAACUAGAGUAUGGGAGAGGUAAGUAGAAUUUCCGGUGUAGCGGUGAAAUGCGUAGAUAUCGGAAGGAACACCAGUGG